rnacentral:rRNA from 1 species
GCCUAAUACAUGCAAGUCGAACGGUCUUUCUAAUGGAAGCUUGCUUCCACUGAGAAGAUAGUGGCGAACGGGUGAGUAACACGUGGGUAACCUGCCCAUAAGAGGGGGAUAACAUCCGGAAACGGGUGCUAAUACCGCAUAGUUUUCUUGAUCGCAUGAUUGAGAAAGGAAAGACGGCCUUUGUGCUGUCGCUUAUGGAUGGACCCGCGGCGUAUUAGUUAGUUGGUGAGGUAACGGCUCACCAAGACGAUGAUACGUAGCCGACCUGAGAGGGUGAUCGGCCACAUUGGGACUGAGACACGGCCCAAACUCCUACGGGAGGCAGCAGUAGGGAAUCUUCCGCAAUGGACGAAAGUCUGACGGAGCAACGCCGCGUGAGUGAAGAAAGGGUUUUCGGAUCGUAAAACUCUGUUGUCAGAGAAGAACAAGUUGGAGAGUAACUGCUCCAGCCUUGACGGUAUCUGACCAGAAAGCCACGGCUAACUACGUGCCAGCCGCUGC